AAAAAAAAAAAAAAAAAAUUCGGAAUUCAUGGGAAAAACGCGCGUCAUUCAUUUCAGAAAACUAAAACUCUCAACAAAAAGCCCUAAAAAACUAAAAGCUAAAACUGCCGCCACACCACAGCGCUGCCGCCUGCCCAUCCACUGCAAAUUCCACCUGCCGCCGUGUUGUCCAGGCCCUGCUGCCUGUCCAGCGGCUAUGUCGGUCUGAUUCGCUGUCGCUUCCUGUUUCACUCUUAACAAAAACCCUAAAUUCAGAAUUCUGAUUUUUUAAAGAUAUAGAAUUACUAAUAACUCCAAAGUCCAUUCACUUGAGGGAACUAGACAAUUUCUCCUAGACCAUGAUUUGAAAGCAGGGGAUUUUAUUGCCAUUUACAAAGAUAAUGACAGAAGACGAUUUGUGAUAGGAGUGUUACAGGGAAGAAGAGAAGUUUCAAAUGUAGUCUCAACAAUUACUGCUGAUAGUAUGCUUAUUCCUAACUUAGAUAUCAAAAGCAGUCCAAGUUAUGUCUACUUUAACCAGCUUUCAGACUAUUCUAUAGCUGAUGAAAUGGAGGAAGCAGCUGCACCUCCCACACCUUAUCCCUAUGGCAACGCAACCUGGAGUGGUUCUGUACUUUCAUGUCAGCUUGAAAGGCUUGCCCCAUUGAAGACCUUUAAGUUCUUUGAUUUACCCUUAGAUUAUAUAUUUUGGAUCUAAUAACAGAAAAAAGAUAUGAUUUUCCUGAGUUUUAUUUUCCAUAAAUGAUUGUAAUGUCAUCGUCUAAUAGAGGUUAUACAUUUCUCGAGGCUUUAGCUAAUGGUUUAAUUCAUGCCAAGAAACCAACUCAAAUAAAAAGAUGAAGGCGAUAUUAAAGUUUAUAAUAUGUUAUAUAUUCAAUGAUUA